rnacentral:rRNA from 1 species
AUGCAAGUCGAGGGGUAGUUGGUUUCGGUACCGAAGAGACCGGCGCACGGGUGCGUAACGCGUAUGCAAUCUACCUUUGUCAGAGGGAUAGCCCAGAGAAAUUUGGAUUAAUACCUCAUAGUAUGUGAGAAUGGCAUCAUUUUCACAUUAAAGUCACAACGGCAAAAGAUGAGCAUGCGUCCCAUUUAGCUUGUUGGUAAGGUAACGGCUUACCAAGGCAACGAUGGGUAGGGGUCCUGAGAGGGAGAUCCCCCACACUGGUACUGAGACACGGACCAGACUCCUACGGGAGGCAGCAGUGAGGAAUAUUGGACAAUGGGCGCAAGCCUGAUCCAGCCAUGCCGCGUGCAGGAUGACGGUCCUAUGGAUUGUAAACUGCUUUUGUACAGGAAGAAACACUGGUUCGUGAACCAGCUUGACGGUACUGUAAGAAUAAGGAUCGGCUAACUCCGUG